AUUGAACGCUGGCGGCAGGCCUAACACAUGCAAGUCGAGCGGAUGAAGGGAGCUUGCUCCUGGAUUCAGCGGCGGACGGGUGAGUAAUGCCUAGGAAUCUGCCUGGUAGUGGGGGAUAACGUCCGGAAACGGGCGCUAAUACCGCAUACGUCCUGAGGGAGAAAGUGGGGGAUCUUCGGACCUCACGCUAUCAGAUGAGCCUAGGUCGGAUUAGCUAGUUGGUGGGGUAAAGGCCUACCAAGGCGACGAUCCGUAACUGGUCUGGGAGGAUGAUCAGUCACACUGGAACUGGGACACGGUCCAGACUCCUACGGGAGGCAGCAGUGGGGAAUAUUGGACAAUGGGCGAAAGCCUGAUCCAGCCAUGCCGCGUGUGUGAAGAAGGUCUUCGGAUUGUAAAGCACUUUAAGUUGGGAGGAAGGGCAGUAAGUUAAUACCUUGCUGUUUUGACGUUACCAACAGAAUAAGCACCGGCUAACUUCGUG
rnacentral:rRNA from 1 species